UACGAAGGGUGCAAGCGUUACUCGGAAUUACUGGGCGUAAAGGGUGCGUAGGCGGGUCUUUAAGUCAGGGGUGAAAUCCUGGAGCUCAACUCCAGAACUGCCUUUGAUACUGAGGAUCUUGAGUUCGGGAGAGGUGAGUGGAACUGCGAGUGUAGAGGUGAAAUUCGUAGAUAUUCGCAAGAACACCAGUGGCGAAGGCGGCUCACUGGCCCGAUACUGACGCUGAGGCACGAAAGCGUGGGGAGCAAACAGGG
rnacentral:rRNA from 1 species